rnacentral:rRNA from 1 species
UACAGAGGUCUCAAGCGUUGUUCGGAUUCAUUGGGCGUAAAGGGAGCGUAGUGGCGCCGUAAGUCAGGUGUGAAAUCUCGGGGCUCAACCCCGAAACUGCACUUGAUACUGCGGUGCUCGAGUACUGGAGAGGAGAUUGGAAUUUACGGUGUAGCAGUGAAAUGCGUAGAUAUCGUAAGGAAGACCAGUGGCGAAGGCGACUACCUGGCCUGUUCUUGACGCUGAGGCGCGAAAGCUAGGGGAGCAAACGGG